rnacentral:rRNA from 1 species
GGGUAGAGCACUGUUUCGGCUAGGGGGCCAUCCCGGCUUACCAACCCGAUGCAAACUGCGAAUACCGGAGAAUGUUAUCACGGGAGACACACGGCGGGUGCUAACGUCCGUCGUGAAGAGGGAAACAACCCAGACCGCCAGCUAAGGUCCCAAAGUCAUGGUUAAGUGGGAAACGAUGUGGGAAGGCCCAGACAGCCAGGAUGUUGGCUUAGAAGCAGCCAUCAUUUAAAGAAAGCGUAAUAGCUCACUGGUCGAGUCGGCCUGCGCGGAAGAUGUAACGGGGCUAAACCAUGCACCGAAGCUGCGGCAGCGACGCUCAGGCGUUGUUGGGUAGGGGAGCGUUCUGUAAGCCUGUGAAGGUGGCCUGUGAGGGUUGCUGGAGGUAUCAGAAGUGCGAAUGCUGACAUAAGUAACGAUAAAGCGGGUGAAAAGCCCGCUCGCCGGAAGACCAAGGGUUCCUGUCCAACGUUAAUCGGGGCAGGGUGAGUCGACCCCUAAGGCGAGGCCGAAAGGCGUAGUCGAUGGGAAACGGGUUAAUAUUCCCGUACUUGGUGUUACUGCGAAGGGGGGACGGAGAAGGCUAUGUUGGCCGGGCGACGGUUGUCCCGGUUUAAGCGUGUAGGUGUGUGUUCCAGGUAAAUCCGGUUCACUUUAACACUGAGGCGUGACGACGAGGCACUACGGUGCUGAAGCAACAAAUGCCCUGCUUCCAGGAAAAGCCUCUAAGCAUCAGGUAACAUCAAAUCGUACCCCAAACCGACACAGGUGGUCAGGUAGAGAAUACCAAGGCGCUUGAGAGAACUCGGGUGAAGGAACUAGGCAAAAUGGUGCCGUAACUUCGGGAGAAGGCACGCUGACACGUAGGUGAAGUGAUUUACUCAUGGAGCUGAAGUCAGUCGAAGAUACCAGCUGGCUGCAACUGUUUAUUAAAAACACAGCACUGUGCAAACACGAAAGUGGACGUAUACGGUGUGACGCCUGCCCGGUGCCGGAAGGUUAAUUGAUGGGGUC